rnacentral:lncRNA from 1 species
UGCCACAUUUGCAAGUCAACGAAAAAUAAGAAGGUACUUAACUGCAUUGAAUGUGACUUUAUUAUAUGUUUUGAAUGCGCCACCUUACCAUACAUGGUAAGGUACAAGCAUGACGAACAUUACCUCACAUUUUGUCAUGGAGAUGAGGCAAAUGGAUCAGAUUGGUGUGAAUUAUGUGAGGGAAAGUUAGCAAUUGGAGGAAAAGAAGGGUUCUAUAAGUGCAAAGAUUGCUGCACCACGCUUCAUAUUAAUUGCUUACUUGGUCCUGAUCCAUAUUACAAGGCUGGUCAAACUUACGAAAUUGGUGAAAUUGCAAUUCUUUUGCAACACAACAAUUCUGCUUCUCGGCCUAUUUGCUAUUUUUGCAAUAUCCGUUGUCCGUAUCCAAUAUUUUUGGUAGCCACAGUGGAUAGGAUUGCUUAUAUUCUAUGUUCUAGUAAACACUUGAAGUAGGGGAAACCCUACAAUACAUGUCGACAACCAUUGAGUUAUCUGUUUUCUUUUAAAUUUUUUCUGCAACGCUUUUUCUAAUAUGUUGUUGUUGUUUUUGUUGUUGUUGUUGUAUAUAUAUAUAUAUUGUUUGUUUUUUUUGUCAACGUUUUUCGUGUGCUUUUGAUGUAAUAUGUUUACAGUGUGUAAUAAAGCAAUCACUUUUUUUAUCAAAAAAAUCCAUCUGGUUUAUUAGACUAAAUCAUUAAUUUUUUAUAAGAGAUGUCGUGAAAUUCCUCUAUAGGUGAAAAAUAUGGAACUUAUAAAGUGAAAAACCGAGAUAUAUAGAGACGAUGUAACGUCAAAAAGACUUGGAUUUUCAAAAUUUGAAACAUUUCAUUAGAAAGUCAAAAGUAGAUAUUUUAAAAUUUGAAACUUAGUUCUUGUUAUCUAUCCAGUAUCAACAUUCAAUGAAUGACAUUUCAAUACGCGGAGUUAUGUCCUCCCAAACCCACAAACUCCCUAUAGCAAAUCUCACAAACUACUAAUUUUUUCUCCACAAUUUCACUUAAUCUAACUAUAAUCUUUCUACUUGAUAAUGAAGCAAAAGCAACUAUUUCACCAUAAAAUUUCUGAUUUAAGAAAAUAAUUCUUUCGAUUUUAGGAUAAAAUUAAAAUCAAUUUCAUUCCUGAAUUAUUUCGGUUUUUCUUCUUAAAUUUCUGAUUUUUUAAAUAUUUUAUACAUAUUUAAGGAAAAGAAAUAGGGAAAAAUGUUAUUUAAUACCUGAACUUUCAAAAAAUGGCCAAAUUAACCGUGAAUUCUUGAAAUGGCCGUUUUAUACCUCAACAAAUAGUUGAUUUCUAAUUUAACCUAUAAAUUAUCGUUGAUCCGGCCAAAUCGACUCACCGUUAACACUUCUUAACAGCUCUCCUAACAGCGUAACUAACAAUUGUUUUCGUCCUUAAACCAACGACAACGGCUGUUAGGCCAUGUUUUGUAAUGGCUGUUAGGAGCGCUAUUAAGAAGUGUUAACGGUGAGUCGAUUUGGUCGGGUUAACGAUAAAUUAUAGGUUAAAUUAGAAGUCAACGAUAAAUUAUAGAUUAAAUUAGAAGUCAAUUUUUUGUUGAGGUAUAAAACGACCAUUUCAAGAGUUCACAGUUAAUUUGGCCAUUUUUUGAAAAUUCAGGUAUUAAAUAACAUUUUUCCUAAAAGAAAUAUAUUUCUUUCAUGUAAUUUGGUUGUAGAAAAGUUAAGACACGUAACAAAAAAAAAGAACAGUAGUUUGUUAGUGGUAUUUUGGUCUGAAAUAACAUAAUUAGCGAAUUUGUGAAAGCUCCAUUUCACUUUGUCAAAACAUGAGAACAAAAGUCGUAAUAUGGGUUAAUGUGAAUUUUUUUUUUAAAAUUAUCAUGCUACUUUGUUAUUCAUAGUUGAGUGAGUUUCACUUUGCUAUACUUUUGGCAAGAUUAUUUUCAAAAGAGACACUUUCAUCUUUUUUUUUCACUAUUCAACAUUUUUUAAUACAAUUUUGCCCUUUUUUCUUUAUUUCUCUUUUUCAUUUUUAUUAUCUUUUUAUUAUCAUUUUAGUUACCUAAUAUAAAAUAUUUCGUCUGUUUUUUUAUAUAAUAAAUUAAGAUUUAAUUUUUCUUAUAUUUCGAAAUUUAAUUUAUCCAUUUCCGAUUGGACAUUUGUUUAUUAUUAAAUAGAUAUUAAAAAGUACUUAAACAAAUAUGCUUUACCAAUAUUUAGAUCUUGGUGUCACAAAAAGAACAAACAAACAUUAUACUCUAUGUUAGAAUCGAUCACACUAACGAUGUUGGAUUUUACGAACGACCAAUAAGAAGUCAAGUUAAUCAACUAUCCAUCCAAUUCAGUAUAGCACUACUUUCCAUUAUAUUGUUGUUUAUUGAUAAUGAGAAAUGUUAUAUCGUGCUAGAGCUUUACUUCUCAUUGUCUCAAGUCAACUCUCACACGAUUUAACACAUCCUUGAGUUAAAAAAAGUAUAAACAAAUUUUGGUUCAUUUAUUAGUCUAAUUGGCCUCAUCGCUCAAUGAAGCUAUACUAUCGCAAUCCAAAAUGUCUCAAUGAAGAUAUCCUACUAUCAAUGAAGCUAUACUCUCUAUAAACUAUACCGAAAGUUUUUUACUAGAGAUUUCUUAAUGAAAUCUCUAUCCCUUCGAUUCAUAUAUGUAGGAUAUCAUGUAAAUUAUAAUACAAAAAGACCGUUGAGCUAAAUAUUAAUACUCAAUCUGUAUCAUUUUAAAUGAUGUUUACAAGAGAGAAAAAUUGUUUCAUUUAAAUAAUGUAAUACAGUAAAAACCUUAAACAUUCCUUGAAAUGAAGAGAGUAUAUUAUUAUGGGCUAUAUUAAUGUAUAUGCCUGAAAGACUUGAAAAUUAGAUAUUUACUAUAAAUAGUUUAAUAUUAGGUAAGAAUAAAAGAGAAAAAAAUUAAAACUAUAAAUAUCUUUUCUAUUUAUUUAAUUUACCAAAUUUGCCAUUGUCUCACAACAUUAUUUAUUACCGGAUACUUUAGGCAUGAUACUGUUCAUCAUAUACCUGACAACUCUAUUCAUCCAAAAUUUACAACACUAUUCAUCAUUGGAUUGCAUAAAAUAUUUAUGGUUUAUGUAGAUAACUAUUUGAUUAACAUGUUAACUAGUAUGAUAUCGUGCUAGAUACAGAUAAAUGUUUGAUUAACAUGUUAACUAGUAUAGUAUCACGAUAAAUUUAUAUAUAACGUAUUAAACCAUUUACCAUAUUAUACAAAUUAAUAUGAAAGAAUCAAAUUCGGUUGACAAAAAAAAAAAAAAAAAUCAAAUUCAAAUUAGAAUAACAUAUUAUACUGAAUAUAACGUGCUAACAUAUUAAAUAUUUGAAUAAUAUUUUUAUAUAAAUGUGGUAAAAUAUUUGAUAUAUAGUGAAAUUAUAACAAUAGUUUAUACACGACAUAUUUGGUAAAUUAAACAAAGUAAAAAAGACAGUUAUGACUUUAAUUUUUUUUCUCUUACAUACUUACCCAAUAUUGAAUUAUCAAUGGUAAAAUCUAGUUUUCACAUUUUCUGGGCAUAUCCAUUAAUACUAGAUGAGUACCCACGCUACGCGUGGAUUUAUUUUGAAAAUUGUUAAAAAAAAUAUUUACAUUGAUUGUUAUUUUUGCUAAUUUUUGUUUAUUCUUUGUUUAUUCUUGUAUUGUUAAUAAAAUUAGAUCCAUAAUAUGUACUUAUAAUUUUUAUGGUUAGAUUCAUUUGUGACUAAUUUAUUUAUAAAGCUGAUUAUUUAUAAAAUUUUAAUAUUUUCACUUCAUGAAUACAUAUAACAACAAUAUCUGAUAUUCUGAUAGAAUUAUGUAUAAUUAUGUUACUUGUGUGGUUUAAAAUUUGCUUAACUCGAUUAUAAAUAAAUCAAUUCCUUGUUUUAUGUACUUCAACGAUAUUGUGAUAGGUUCAUGAUUAAAGUUUGGAUUGACAUCAACUGAAUAAGAUCUGAAAAAUAUUCAUAUGUAAAAAUAAGAAGAUGGCAAAAAUUGAAUAUCAUUUAAGUCAACAAUUUUAGAUUUUCUAUCAUUGCAUAUAUCAAUAUUAGAAAAAUGAUCAUGUCUUGGAUGAUUUGAAAAUUGUCUAACUUGAUUACAAAUAAACUAUUUCUGGUCUUAUAUAUUCUCUUGAUAUAAUAAUCAACAACAUUGUUAUAAGCUCAUGAUUAAAUAUAUAAAAUUGAUAUAAACUAAACAAGAUUUCAAGCGUAUUCAUAUGAAAAAAUAAAAAGAAAGCAAAAAUUAAAAUAUCAUUUAAGUCAAUACUUUUAGAUCUUCUCUCAUUGCAUAUAUCCAUAUAAGAGAAAUAAUCAUGUAUUAAAUUAUUUGGUAGGUCUAAUGUUUCAAAGGUUUAUUAUUUGAAAAAAUUUGAAUGUUAAUGUUAUCAAAGACUCAAAAUAAAAUUACUAAACUAAUAAGAGGUUAGGUAGCAAACAUCUUCAAUGCAAAACAUUUUAGUCAUUAAAAUAGUGAUUAUUGAUAAUAAAAAAUUAGUAAAAUAAAAAUAAUAUAAUGUAAGUAGUGCUUAAUUUAUUAACAUAAUUUUUAUUUUUUAUUUUUAUUUUGAAGAAAUCAAUUAAAAUUAGUAUUGAUGAUACAUUUAAUUUACUUAUUAAAUUUUAUUAAAUUUUAAUUUAAAAAAUAUAAAAUGACACAUGUCAUUUCUUGUGUAAUGACGUGUCAUUCAUAUGGAGAGAGUUGGUCAACUUUUAUAUAUAUGAUUUUUCUAUUAUAUAUUACAUUAAAUACUUUUUGAAACAGAGUCAAAACUAUUACAGUAAAUAUUAUAAACUAACGUUAGUUGGAUUUAAUUAUUUUUAAUUUCAGCUUAGCUGUAUUUUUUGUCAACCAACGUCAACGUGGUAACGUAGCUGUAAUAUAUAACAAAAAUGACUUCUACAUUAAUAUAACUUAAUUCGUAAUAAUAAUGUGAAAAUUAGCUAGCAUUUAGCGCCCAUAGUUUAUUUGCUACUAUAUGAGUCAUUAAACAAUUACGACUAGAUCAUAUCAUUCUAAAAUAAUAUCAAACAAAUUGCAAACUGGAGUUGUUUAAUCCUUGGGAAGCUAAAAGUGAAAUCUUAACGAGGACAACACCUUUCAGUCUUUAUAUAUACACAUAUGUAGGGGCAAGAAGGAUAACAACAUCCCAAAACCCUAAAAAAUACUCUAAUCGAGCAACCAUGGACUUCUUCGGAGAAUUUCAGAAGAGAGAAAUCGAGGGGAAACCAUAUCUCGUAUACUAAAACGUUAUAAAGCCACAAAUACAAACCCCAAACUCCUCUGAUGAAAAAACCACCAUCGAUAAUCCAUUAUCAAUCCAAAAUUUAAACUCCAUAGCCAUUGAUUCCGGCGACAAUCUCCCUCUUGCACCUCUUUUCAUAUGCCCUGAUUUACGAUAUCGAUUAACAGCGACUGUCGAUAAUAUUACAGUCUCGGGUGAAGAUGGGGGUAUAUUACUUGACCUCUUUUUCAAGCUCAAGACUUCCCCUCUCCAUGGUGACAGUACGUCAUAUUAUCAUGUCGUACUCCCUCUGUUUUGGUGCAACAAUAAAGAAGCUGAUCCAGACAUGGAUUGCGGUUUUUGCGAAGGCGAUAAGGUCGGUACAUGCUAUUAUUACUGUGUCACGUGUGAUGAAAGGUACCACAAAGAAUGUGUUGAGUCUCCACUUGAGAUCACUUAUCCUUCCCACCCUCAACAUUCUCUCCAAAUUUACCUUUCUACAAAACCAUUUGAGCAUUGCAUCUUGUGCUCAAGAAAGGCACAUAAUAUUAUUUAUUAUUGUGAUGUCUGUGAUAUUUACAUGCAUGUGCUUUGUGCUCAGGCGACAAUACCCUUUUUCAUAGACCAACCAAAAAGGCAUGAUCAUACACUCACCCUUUUCCCUAGACAAGCUUCCUUAACCUGCAAUGUUUGUGGUUUAGUUAAUAAACUUCAUCUCACCUACGUCUGCUCCAUAUGCAAUUUUGCAGCCCAUAGUGAUUGUAUCCAUAUCCCACAAACCAUAAGAAUGUCUCGCCACGACCAUCGUAUCUCUUUCACUUCUUCUCUUCCAUUAGGAAUAUGGUCUUGUGGAGUUUGCCGCAAAGAGAUUGAUGGUGAUUAUGGUGCAUAUAUUUGCAAUAUUUGUAGCGGCUACGCUGUUCACACAAGAUGUGCAUUGCGACUCGAUAUAUGGGAUGGCAUUGAUCUCGAAGGAGUACCAGAAGAAGAUGAAGAAGUUGAGCCAUUCGAGAGGAUAUCAGAUGGAAUAAUACUCCAUUUUUCUCAUGGUUGUCAAUUGAAACUUACGACCUAUGAAGUUAACGGCGAAGAAAAGUUUUGUCAAGCGUGUGUCCUUCCAAUCAAUGAGAAGAAUUUGUAUGUAUGUGUGGAAUGUGGCUUCAUCCUACAUGAAACAUGUGCAGAUGCUCCCCGCAAGAAGUUCCAUCCAUUGCAUCCCCAUCCACUUAAACAAAGAGUUGCUACAGCUGACCUUGAACGUGGAUUCUCCUAUCUUGCAUGUAAGCGCCUAAGUAAUAGUUUCAGAUAUGAGUGUGACAAAGAGGGUUGUGACUGCGUUCUUGAUGUAGUAUGUGCUUCGGUUUCUGAGCCGUUUGAUUAUCAAGGUCAUCCACACCCCUUAUUUCUAGCUUUAGACCCCAAAGAAAAGCCAAUUUGCAACAUUUGCAAGUCAACCAAGGUUCAUAAACUAUUGAACUGCAUUGAAGUCGAGUGCAAUUUUGUUAUAUGUUUUACGUGUGCCACCUUACCAUACAUGGUAAGGUAUAAGCAUGAUGAACAUUACCUCACAUUUUGUCGUGGAGAUGAGGCAGGUGGCUCAGACUGGUGUGAGUUAUGCGAAGGAAAAUUAGCAAUUGGAGGAAAAGAAGGGUUCUAUAAGUGCACUUAUUGUUGUACCACGCUUCAUAUUAAUUGCUUGCUUGGUCCAGAUCCAUAUUUGAAGCCUGAUCAAACUAUCCCAACGGAUCAAAUUGAGGUGGUUUUACAACGCAACAAUUCUGCAUCUCGUCAAAUUUGCAGCAAAUGCAAUAUUCGUUGUCCGUAUCCAACAUUUGCAGUAUACACAAAGGAAAUGGUUUCUCAUAUUAGGUGUGCUCUAACAUGUUAACAACCAUUGAGAAAUCCCUUUUAUUUGAAAUUUGAAUUGUAACUAAGUGUAUCUGCACUUUUUUAAUAUGUAAUUUGUUUUUUUGCUUCUUGUUUGUUAAACCUUUUCAUUGUUUACGUUCCUUUUAAUUAUAUAAAACGUUUACUGUAUAUAAAAUGUCGUAAAAUACUUUUAUAGAGGUGAAAAAUAUGGAUUUUGUGGAGGGAAUAACGAGAUCAUAUAGAGACUGUAACUUCGAAAAGACAUAAUUUUUCCAAAUUCGAAACACUUCAUCUACAUACUCAAUUCAUUAAUAUGAUUAAGUUGACGUCAGAUUAUAUCUUCAAAUCAGUUCUCACUAGUUUUUGACAUCUCUAUCCGCAUUCAAGUAAUGACCAAUUUCAAAUACCCAAAUUCACGUUCUCUUGAGAACACAAACUCUUGCUAACAAAACUGAAAGACUUUGUUCACAUACAUUGAUUAUACAUAUAGAAAAGAUGUAGGUCCAAAUCACUUCAUACUCUUCUAGACUAACUUUCUCAGACGCAUUCUUUCGGGCGUAUAUUAGCAUGCCACCACCAACGACCUCCUAAUCGCAACUCUAACCGCACCGACUACACUCAGUUGCCUCGUCUCUGGUCUUAGCUCUUUACAUUCGGUAUUUCUACAACUUGCUUCCACCUGAACAUCCACAAAAUAUUAUCUAUGCCGGUUUGUGAUGAUCGAACGUUUCCAAAACAUGAGUGAGCGUAGGAAUAGGAUACAUCUUUAAGAUGAAUUUUUGUGAUGAUUUUUUCUGAUGUUGCCUUUGUUUUUUGUUUUUUUUAGAAAAAUAUUAAAUUUAUUCAAAGAAAAAAAUUUGUUUUACAAUAUAUGCAGCCAUUAGUCAACUUGGUUUAGAGUUUAGAUCAAAAGGUAAAAGAGCUCAAAAGCAAAACUAGUGAUUUGGCGUUUUGUUGUCUCUCGUUGCGAACCAUAUUCCUCCGACCACACAUUGCUUCAUAUCCAUACUUCACUUAUCGCAUUCACAUUCGAGUAAUAACCAUUUUUUGUUGUGUGGCUUUUUAAUGUUAAAGCCCAUUUUCGUUUUCUUUUUUUCGUCGGAUUACAAGUCAAAUCAAGUUAAUUAACCACAGUAAAAAAAUCCGAACGUUGUAAAAAUUCGACAACGGCCAGGAAAGUUAGUAAAUUUAAAUUAUAAAUCGUCACGUUACGUGAUUAGAAAGCGCAACGACUAAAUAUAUAACGACUACCAAAUUCUCUACGUCUAUAUAAUAAAACAGAACAUGAAUUAUAAUGUCCUAUGGCACAUUUUUUUAUUAGAGACAUUAAUUAUCCAUGUGCAAUAAGCAAUAAACUGAUCCAUGUGCCUUAUAUUAGAUUUUUAACAACGACUGAUAAAGAAGUCAACUUAAUCAUCCAACCAAGGCCAGCCAAGUCGGUAUCGCUACCACUACUUUUCAUUAUUUCUAUAUACUAUAAAAAAAAAUUAAUCUGGUGGCGUCACGAUUAAUUGCAACAUUUUUGUUUGACUUUUACAUUUUCGAUUAAUCUGGUGGCGUCACGAUUAAGGAUUGGCCCCAUUAGCUAGGUGGAUACUAAUUGCUUAGUUCAUUCGAAGUCUACCAUUUUCCAGUUUCCUUUAUAUAUGUUAUUGAACUAAUUAAAUUUAAUUAAAUAUUCGAGCUUAUGAAUGAAAUUCUUAUGAGAAACGAUUUUUUUUUAAACUAGAGAUUAGAAACGUUUUGGAAACGUAUACAAAUAUAUAUAUAUAUAUAUAUAACAUUAACAUAAAAUUAGAUUGAAGAAAAAAUGGUUUAAACCAUACAAAUCUAAACUAUCAAUAUUAAAUAAGUUAACUAAAACUCUAAAGAUAAAGAUUAAAAGGUUUAAGUUCAAAUAUUUAAUUUAGACCAACAUUUUUAUUCUUAUUUUCAUUACUUUCAUCAAAGAUAAUUUAAAUCUCUCUUCAAAUCUGGUUUAUCAAAAGAAAUAUCUUAAAACUGAGAGUCUUCCAAAAUUAGUUAUAUGUAUUAAUAAUUUUAAGAUUUCUAUUUUUUUUGUUUUUGUAAUCCGAAAAUUAAUUAGGGCUCAAACGAGCCAAACCUGAGAAAUGUUGUUUACAAAUUUAAUAUAAAGCGGUUGGGUACGAACUCAUAUUUCCAGUUUUAGUUAUUAAAUUUUUUAAGUCAAUAAAAAAUAUUUGUCGUAUGUCUAUUUUAGAAAUAUAAGUUUCUAUUUUGGAAACUUGAGUUUCUAUCGUGUUUCCAAAAAUAAAUUUUUAAAAAAUAUGUUUUCGUGACGAUUUUCGUAUUUCCGAAAAGUUUCUGUUUCCGAAAUGUUUCGAAAUAUAAAACAGAUCUAAGAGCGAAUUUUCAUGCAACCUAGAUAUACACUGCCCUUUUAAUUUGCUAAGUUGUAAAUUUCCUCAACCGAUAUAUGGAACAAAAUUAAAAUUAGAUUUCUGUUAUUUUAGGUAUAAUCUCCGGGUAUACGUGAUGAGUUAGUACUUUUACGCAGUAGUGAUAUACAACAAAGAUCUCUGAUACCGAACGUGAAAAGUAAAAGUCCUUUUACAUCAUCGUUUUAUAUCUUGAAUUAAUAUAACACACAAUGACUAUUUUUUUUUUAGAAACACAAAAAGACUGUUGAGAAAAUUAAAUAACUAAAGUCUAUCAACCAUCUUAGCUGUACUUAAUCGUAUAUAUGAAAGUUGGCCAACUCUCUUCAUAUGGAUGACACAUCAUCACACAAGAAAAUGACAUGUGUCCUUUAACAUUAAUUAAAUUAAAAAUCAGCAAAAUUAAUUGAGAGAAAAUCAAAAGUUUCAUAUUCUGUUAAAUCGUCCAUUAAUUCAUUUCUUUAACUAUUUUUUCAAAAUAAAAAUAAAAUUAUAAAAUUAUUUAUUUAAAUAAAUCAAUUACUACUUUUAUUUUACUUUUAUUAUUUCUAUUUUUUUUUAAAUUAAUGGUCAAUGGUCAUCACUCUAUAAUGACUAAAUAGUUAUUUGUGUUGUAGUUUAGUUGUUUGCUACCUUAUAUUAGUUUAGUUAUUUUACCUUGAUUUUUUUAUUUUUACGUUAUGGUUCAUAUCUUAUCAUAUGAAAUUCUGUCUUUUCAUUUUUGUAUCUUUAGGUAAGUUCGUAACAUUGACAUUCAACAUUUUCAAGUAAUAGACUUUUGAGACUUUUGGUAAGUUUAUAAAUUCACCUUAGUUGUAUAUCAGGCUACUAUAGUUAAUUAAUUAUGUACCACAUUAAGAUGAUUAGUUUGUUUCCGUCUUUAUUGUACAUUGUGAUUUGUGAAGAUAGCAUUUAAUCAUUUAGUUAGCUAGCUAACCCAUAAGUUAUUUAUUUGCCACUGAAGCUAUAUGCCCCAAUUAACAAUCACGAUUAGAUCAUUUCAUAAAAUUAUUACAGAACAUGAAUUAUAUAUAAUGUCCUAUGACACAUAUUUUAUUUAUUAAAGAACUUAAUCAUCUAUGUGUAACACUACCUUUCAUUGUUUCAAGUAAAACUUUUGGUGUAUAUUUUCGUUUUUCUUUGGCAAUGUUAAUUGAAACAUUUGCGAUUAAUCGGGUGGCGUCACGAAAUCCGAUUGUGAACCGGGUAAUAGCCGGAUAAGACGUUAAUUUGGUGACGCUAUCACACGUAAAAAGCCAACAAACAGUCGAAUUUUAACCGGUCCAACUAGUUCUACUUGAUUAGAUCAUUUGAAGUCCACCUUUUGCAAGAUUUUCUUCGUGUAAUUUACUUAUCUUUAAAUCGAACAUAUAUAUAUAUAUAUAUAUAUUAUAUAUUUUUGAGUACUAAUAUAUUGCCUUUAUAAUUUGAUAAAUAUACUUGUAUGUAAUUAAAUCUUCCUCCUCACUAUAUAAAUUCAUGACUUUUAAAACUGUUUCUGUUUAUAUAUAUAUAUAUACUAGGAUUUAACCCGUGGUAUACCACGGGACAAAUAUUUUAUUUAUAUAUAAUAAUAUUAAAUUUUACGGUUUUAAAUUUAGUAUUAAAAUUAUAUAAUUUUAUAUUAAUAUUGUAAAUAAAAAAAUUGGUGAUGAUAAAAUAAUAAAUAAGGAUUUAACUCGUGUUAUAUCAAUCAAAUCCGUCCCGCUAUACAACUCGUCUCAUGAUAGUUUUAAUAUUUUUUUAUAAGGAUAAAUAUUAAUAAAUUGUAGGUAUGUAACCUAGCUGUAGGUAUGUAAAGAGUUAGUUUAAUGAAUUUGUACGUUAAGAUUAGACUAUUUAUUAAAGAAAUUUAAAAACACAAAUUGCAAAGAAAGCUGGAAAAAUUAAAACGUCAUCUCUGUGAACGUGUAUAUAUCGGAAAGAAGGAGAAGACCAGUAUCAAUCCUAAACCAACCAAAAAAAAACACCAAAAUCUCCGAUUGAGCAGUCAUGGACUUAUUCGGAGAAUUUCAUAAGGUGGAAAUCAAUGGGAAACUAUUUCUCGUAUACCACAACGUUAUAAAACCAUUACCAAACAUAAACAAUCCAUUGAUUCCGUCUACGAUCUCCCUCCUCAGCCUCUUUUCUUAUGCCCUCAACUCCGAACCGAAAUAUUAUCAAUUGAUAUCGAUAAUGCGAGGGUUGGUGAGAGGGUAUCUAAACAAAUUCUUUUCAAGCACAAUACUUCCCCUCUCUUUGAUGACACUAGUGACGGUCAUCAUGUACUCCCUCUGUUUUGGUGCAACAACAAAGAAGUCGAUCCAGAAGCAGUAGACGGCGAUGAGUGCUAUUCUUGCUCUUUCCAAUCCAUCGGUACAGACUAUUAUUUCUGUGACAAGUGUGAUAAAAGGUUCCAUAAAGAAUGCGUCGAGUGUCCACUUGAGAUUAGUUAUCCUACCCACACCAAACAUUCUCUCCAACUCUUCUAUUCUAAAUAUAGAUCUGACCUCUGCAUCUACUGUAGAGAAAGAGCAACCUAUCUGAUUUAUUUUUGUGCUCUUUGCGAUAGUUAUAUGCAUGUCUUUUGUGCUCAGAUGAAAAUACCUUUUUUUAUAGACCAACCAAAAAGACAUGACCAUACCCUCACCCUUUUUCCUAGACAAGCUUCCUUAACCUGCAAUAUUUGUGGUUUGGUAAAUAAACUUCAUCUCACCUACAUUUGCCCUAUAUGCGAUUUCGUAGCCCAUAGUGAUUGUAUCUAUAUCCCACAAACCAUAAGAAUAUCUCGUCACCACCAUCGUGUGUCUUUUAUUUCUUCCCUUCCUUUUGAAGAAAAGUCUUGCGGAGUUUGUCGUCAAAUGCUUGACAGUGAUUAUGGUGCAUAUAUUUGCAAAGGGUGUAGUGGCUUUGUCGCUCACAUAAGAUGUGCACUACGUAGUGAUAUAUGGGAUGGAAAAGAACUUGAAGGAGUACCAGAAGAAGUAGAAGAAGAUGACGUUGAAUCCUUCAAGAGGAUAGCUGAUGGAGUAAUACUCCAUUUUUCUCAUCGCCAUCAUCUGUAUUUUGAGAUAAGUGGAGUUUACAAUGGAAACAAGUUUUGUCAAGCUUGUGCCCUUCCAGUCAAUGAAGGGAAUUUGUAUGUAUGUGUGGGAUGUGAUUUCAUCCUACACGAAACAUGUGCAGAUGCUCCACGUAGAAAGGUCCAUCCAUUACAUCCCCAUCCCCUUAAACUAAUUUUUUAUGAAGACAAUUGCUUCCACUGCAAAGCUUGUUGGCGUACGAGUACUGCUUUUGGAUAUAGGUGUAUCAACCACAAUUGCAAGUACAUGAUAGAUAUAGUGUGUGCCUCGACUGCUGAGCCGUUUGAUUAUCAAGGCCAUCGACAUCCCUUAUUCUUAUCGUUAGACCCAAAAGAGAAGCCAAUGUGCCACAUUUGCAGGUCAACAAAAGAUAAGAAGGUACUUAACUGCAUUGAAUGUGACUUUAUUGUAUGUUUCGAAUGCGCCACCUUACCAUACAUGAUAAGGUAUAAGCAUGAUGAACAUUACCUCACAUUUUGUCAUGGAGAUGAGGCAAGUGACUCAGAUUGGUGUGAAUUAUGUGAGGGAAAGUUAGCAAUUGGAGGAAAAGAAGG